rnacentral:misc_RNA from 1 species
ACCCAUAAUUCGUCCAAGUAACAAAUAGUUUGAUAAACACUAAACUGAAAGGCACGGCGAUGCUCAAAUUUUCUGCUAUGUUCAUAAGAGUAUCGGUGUUAUAAUGUAUAACGAUAUACUUGUAUUGAUAAAUCUGAAGCGUAAUUAUCGCUAUCACCCAACAUAACUUAUGUAUGAAUUGAAAUGGUGUUCCAGGCCAGACACCACAAAAAUGAAGGCCAAAUUUAACAGACGGACUAAUCGUGUUUAAUAUCAUUUCACAUAAAAUUAACUAUAUCCGCUUGCUCAAACUAUUUUGGGGGUUCUUUCUUAUAUACAAAGACUUGACACGUAAUUACCACACGCAUGCAUCACUAUCACCGUUAAUAAAUUUACAACGGGGCAGAGAUUCCAGCAGCCUUACUUACAUGCAGUCUCACGAUAAACUGAACGUUCCGUGAAAAUCAUGCAGAAACAUACGCAAAUUAUCCACGAGUGACAGCCAUUUGUUUCGGAUUCCCAGG